rnacentral:lncRNA from 1 species
UAUAUGCUUACAACAUUAGAUAAAACACUACACAGGAUUUUAUUUCUUACUAAGAAUUUGUAAAGUUUCCUUUUCCUCUACUUUUUUUCUUCUUGACCAGUUUUGCCAAUUAUAAUAUAGAUUGCUUGUGGAUGGAUAUGUCUGAAAGGUUAUUUGUAUCUGAGCACAGCUAAUUCUAGGCACAGAUCUAAUGUCAAAAUAAAGUAAUCAGUAUAUAUCCUGUCCCUUGCUUCUCUCUACCAGUUUCAGAUUCUGUUUCAUGGAGCAAAAAUACAGCCCCGUCUUCUUCUGCAGUGACAAUCCAGAGGCUGGUGGUAGAAUGAACAUACUAAUUAGAGUCUGAAGAAGGCAUUAAAAUUGGCAGCUCCUCAUUCAGUAUCUUCUCGUUUGUAAGAAAGGCCACCUUCCAUGAUGAACUCCUGUCUCUGCCUAUACUAUGAUGUGAGUAGCAAUUUCUUUCAUUAACAAAGUAAAAUGCAAUAACAAGACAAGUCUAAUCUUUCUAAAGUACCCUGCUACAUUUAAUACCGCCAUUUAUUUCACAUUGGAGGUGUCUAAUUAAAUAGAUGUGAACAGAUAAGGGAUUGAAUUAAGAGAUUGGUUCUCCCAGAUGGUGUGCUACUUGGCCACAAUUAAAUUCUGAUUUUUUCUUUGGCUACACAGCCUUUCCUGGAUUGUACUAGGCUAUUCGUACUUCAUUGUGUUGUAUUUUUGUGGUGAAGCCACUACAGAGGUCCCCAGUACUAAACAAGAAAAGGAACCUUUUUAAAGCCUAGGGACUUUGAGACCAAAAAUGUUUAUUUCAGGGGAAAUCAUACCUGAGAAGACCUAGGAUGAAUGUGGCAGUGAAAAGCAAAUACUGCUUUAGAGAGUAGCCAGUUCAAGUAAAAGGAAGGAACAGAGAUGAGGAAGCCCUAAAGCCUGGGAAAAAGCCAGAGGCCAACUACUUCCUCCAGAACUGAGAAUCAGCAGGAACUAAAGAAAGCAGAGACAAGUGGUGACAGCUGACUCAGUAACAAACCCGAUUAAGGUUCUUCAGCUCCCUUGUAUCUUUCUUCUUCUCUUCUUUCCUUUCUCCAUGAGUUCUAGCCAUCCUUCAUAGACCCUGUUUCCAGUAUUUAAGGAGCAAUACCUUGUGCCAGACUUUGGGCUAAGAGUGCUGGGAAUAUAAGGUGACAGUGACUUUAAGAAGCUAAGUGACAUCAAUUAUAAAAGUAUGAGAUGGUGAGGACAGGAUGCUUGAGGGGCAUGUAGAAAGUAAUACAUCUCAGGAUUAAGAA